rnacentral:rRNA from 1 species
UGUACCUACGGGACGCAGCAGUCGGGCCUUUUCGUCCCUGUUCGCACGCCUGAACGAGCGAUGCCGCGUGAGUGAAGAAGGCCUUCAGGUCGUAAAGCUCUGUUGCGGGGGAAAAAAGGCAGCAUCAGGAAAUGGGUGCUGACUGAUGGUGCCCCGCCAGAAAGUCACGACUAACUACGUGCCAGCAGCCGCGGUAAUACGUAGGUGGCGAGCGUUAUCCGGAAUGAUUGGGCGUAAAGGGUGCGCAGGCGGUCCUGCAAGUCUGGAGUGAAACGCAUGAGCUCAACUCAUGCAUGGCUUUGGAA